UGAUCCAGCCAUGCCGCGUGAGUGAUGAAGGCCCUAUGGUUGUAAAGCUCUUUCAACAGUGAAGAUAAUGACCGUGACCGCAGAAGAAGCCCCGGCUAACUCCGUGCCAGCACCCGCGGUCAUACGGACGGGGCUCGCGUUGUUCGGAAUUACUGGGCGUUAAUCGCGCUUAGGCGGGUUGUUAAGUUCCGGGUGAAAUCCCAAGGCUCAACCCCGGAACUGCCUUUCUUACUGGUAAUCUUGAGUUCGAGAGAGGUGAUUGGAAUUCCGAGUGUAGAGGUGAAAUUCUUAAAUGUUCCGAAGAACACCAGUGGCGAAAGCGGCUCAAUGGCUCGAUACUGACGCUUAGGUGCGAAAGCGUGGGGAGCAAACACGAUUAGAUACCCUGGUAAUCCACUCCGAUAACCAUGGAAGGCUACGCGUCAGGUUAUUUUCACUUUGGUGGCGCAAUUAACGCAUUAAGCUUCCCGCCUGGGGAGUACGGUGGCCCAAUUAAAACUCCAUGA
rnacentral:rRNA from 1 species